rnacentral:rRNA from 1 species
AACGAACGCUGGCGGCAUGCCUAACACAUGCAAGUCGAACGAGACCUUCGGGUCUAGUGGCGCACGGGUGCGUAACGCGUGGGAACCUGCCCUUAGGUUCAGAAUAACUCCCCGAAAGGGGUGCUAAUACCGGAUAAUGUCUUCGGACCAAAGAUUUAUCGCCUUUGGAUGGGCCAGGGUUGGAUUAGCUAGUUGGUAGGGUAAAAGCUUACCAAGGCGACGAUCCAUAGCUGGUCUGAGGGGAUGAUCAGCGACACUGGGACUGAGACACGGCCCAGACGCGGAGGGGAGGCCGCAGCAGGGAAUCUUAGGAAAGGGGGGAAAGGAUGAAGGAGAAAAGGAGCGGGAGUGAUGAAGGGCUGCGGAGGGUAAAACUAUGUUAUUAGGGGAGAACAUAUGUGUAAGUAACUGUGCAAAUAUGGGAGGUACCGAAAAAGAAAGCCACGGCUAACUACGG